UCCCUGGUGGCCUAACAGUUAAGGACUCAGCAUUGUCACUGCUGUGGCUUGGGUUACUGCUGUGGCUCAGGUUCGAUCCCUGGCCCAGGAA
rnacentral:tRNA from 1 species